rnacentral:rRNA from 1 species
CCUACGGGUGGCAGCAGUGAGGAAUAUUGGUCAAUGUGCGUGAGUCUGAACCAGCCAAGUAGCGUGAAGGAUGACUGCUCUAUGGGUUGUAAACUUCUUUUAUAAAGGAAUACAGUGAGGCACGUGUGCCCUUUUGCUUGUACCUUAUGAAUAAGGAUCGGCUAACUCCGUGCCAGCAGCCGCGGUAAUACGGAGGAUCCGAGCGUUAUCCGGAUUUAUUGGGUUUAAAGGGUGCGUAGGUGGGUUGUUAAGUCAGUGGUGAAAGUCUGCGGCUCAACCAUAGAAUUGCAUUUGAUACUGGGGGGCUGGAGUAUAGUUGAGGUAGGCGGAAUGCGUGGUGUAGCGGUGAAAUGCUUAGAUAUCACGAAGAACCCCGAUUGCGAAGGCAGCUUACUAAGCUAUGACUGACGUUGAUGCACGAAAGUGUGGGGAUCAAACAGGAUUAGAUACCCGAGUAGUC